rnacentral:lncRNA from 1 species
CUUGUCUUCUGUGCACAUCUUUGUUUCAAGAGGUCUAGCCAGGGAUUCUUGCUACACUCUACCAGUGGGCUCAGAUAUCAACCAAGUGUCUUUCCAUCUCUUCGUGGCCAAUUGAUGGUGACAGAUAAUUAGCUUGAAUUGUUAAAAGUAUAGUUCCUAUGGUAUCUUCAGAAUCUCAAUAUGCCAAAUACGUGAUCUUCAGGAAGUAAACUAUUCAACUGUAGAUGGAUAAGACAGAAGGUUAAACUGCUCCAAACAGCCAUGAAACAUAACAGGUGAUGAUAGGUUAAGUCUCUCAGAACUUUGGAAUCUGACCACAUAACAGGAACCUGUAAUCUUCUCUUCUGAGAUCAUUUCUAUGGGAAAGGGACACAGGUGGCUAGAAGUCUGUCCUAUACAUGGAUCCUGGUAUAACAUGGACAAAAGAGGAAACAAAAGAAUGAAAGAAAAGAGAACAAGGAACAUAAAAAAAGGAAACAAGAAAAGUAAAGAUUUCAGGAUGAAAAUAGGAAACAAGAUAUUGAAACAAGGAAACAAGGCAUGAUAUUUUAAAAUGCUACCCAAGCCUAUCUCAGUCACUGGCCAAGCCUCACUACAGUGCUGUCUCCUGCCAUACCCAAGGGACUCCAUUCUAGGAAGACCAUAGGCUACUUUCCUCAAGGUGCCAUGCAAAGAUACUUCAUUAUGAGACUCAUUAAGCAGAUGCUAUUGAUGGCACAUUCAAAUCUUCACCCCACCUUUCCUCAAUAGCACAGCCCCCAGUUUUAUUCAUGUAUUCAUCUUCCCCUGGGAAGCCUGUGCUCCAGAAAGGUAAACUUAUUCAUAGACCCAGGUGAGGGUAUCUUGAUUAGUUAGUACAUCUAUUUCCCUUGCCAAUGACUGGUUUAAGGAGGUGCGGUCACCCAAUCCUGGCCAGCGAAACAUGAAGAAAAGUCUGUGGAUGGGCUUCAAGGAAAUGGUCAUCACCUAUACAAAGAGACAUACUGGAAGGAAUGACCUUGUUUUUCCAAUGAACACUGUCAUUACUUCAUGCUAUACCUGGAACUUCGGCAGCAGUCAUUCUCAAACCUUUGGGACAAAGCCACCAUGUAAGAGGAAUACUGAAAGAACCCGAGUUCCUGGUAUCAUCACUGAGCCCCUGAAUUACCAGAUGCUGAAAACUGCUUUGUGCCUGGACAUUUUUUUUUAAUGAGAGACUAAAUUCCUUGUUUCUUACAGCGUUUUGUUUCUUACAGUCAAAAGCCUCCUAACUGUUCUAUGUUUACAUGUUCAUAAAUUCAAAAAAUAGUGUUUCAACCAAGCAAAGCUUUUUGUAUACCUUCUGCUUCUUACAACAGCCUGGCAAUGGAACAGGGUACUAAUGAGAAGGGAAAGAGCUUGUCCUGUAAGCACGGACACCCUCAUACUUCAACCCCUCUGGCCCUGAUGAAAAGAACUACCAAAGGACGAAGAAAGAACUGCCAUGCCAAGCUUCUUGAUCUUUCCUCCUUCUGUCAUGGGAGAAGGAGUCUCCAUAAUUACCUUAGUAAAAUCAUGUAUAAACUAUUUCUAAGAAAUAAAACCCUUCUUAAAAUUUAAGUUCCUCUCUGAUACCUUAUACUAUG